AGGGGUGGCGCACGGCUCAGUAACACGUAGUCAACCUACCCUGGGGACGGGGAUAACCUCGGGAAACUGAGGCUAAACCCCGAUGGGCCAUGGCUCCUGGAAUGGGUUAUGGCUGAAAUCUACAUGGCCCCAGGAUGGGACUGCGGCCGAUCAGGUUGUUGGUGGGGUAAUGGCCCACCAAGCCUAUAACCGGUGCGGGCUCUGAGAGGAGGAGCCCGGAGAUGGGCACUGAGACAAGGGCCCAGGUCCUAUGGGGCGCAGCAGGCGCGAAACCUCCGCAAUGGGCGAAAGCCCGACGGGGUCAGUCCGAGUGGUUCCCGCUGAGGGAACCUUUUGCCAGCUGUAAACAGGCUGGCGAAUAAGGGGUGGGCAAGUUUGGUGUCAGCCGCCGCGGUAAUACCAGCACCCCGAGUGGUCGGGACGAUUAUUGGGCCUAAAGCAUCCGUAGCCGGCCCAGUAAGUCCUCCGUUAAAUCCAACGGCUCAACCGUUGGGCUGCGGGGGAUACUGCUGGGCUAGGGGACGGGAGAGGCGAGGGGUAUUCCCGGGGUAGGGGUAAAAUCCACUGAUCCCGGGAGGACCACCAGUGGCGAAGGCGCCUCGCUAGAACGUGCCCGACGGUGAGGGAUGAAAGCUGGGGGAGCGAACCGGAUUAGAUACCCGGGUAGUCCCAGCCGUAAACG
rnacentral:rRNA from 1 species